AUUGAACGCUGGCGGAAUGCUUUACACAUGCAAGUCGAACGGCAGCACGGACUUCGGUCUGGUGGCGAGUGGCGAACGGGUGAGUAAUACAUCGGAACGUGCCCAGUCGUGGGGGAUAACGUAGCGAAAGCUACGCUAAUACCGCAUACGAUCUAAGGAUGAAAGCGGGGGACCGUAAGGCCUCGCGCGAUUGGAGCGGCCGAUGGCAGAUUAGGUAGUUGGUGGGGUAAAGGCUCACCAAGCCGACGAUCUGUAGCUGGUCUGAGAGGACGACCAGCCACACUGGGACUGAGACACGGCCCAGAAUCCGACGGGAGGCAGCAGUGGGGAAUUUUGGACAAUGGGGGCAACCCUGAUCCAGCAAUGCCGCGUGAGUGAAGAAGGCCUUCGGGUUGUAAAGCUCUUUCGGACGGGAAGAAAUCAUGAGGGCUAAUAUCCCUUGUGGAUGACGGUACCGUAAUAAGAAGCACCGGCUAACUACGUGCCAGCCGCCGCAGUAA
rnacentral:rRNA from 1 species